AUUGAACGCUGGCGGCAGGCCUAACACAUGCAAGUCGAGCGGAGCGGCGGACGGGUGCGUAAUGGUUAGGAAUCAGCCUGGUAGUGGGGGAUAACGUCCGGAAAUGGGCGCUAAUACCGCAUACUAUCAGAUGAGCCUAGGUCGGAUUAGCUAGUUGGUGGGGUAAAGGCCUACCAUGGCGAGGAUCGGUAACUGGUCUGAGAGGAUGAUCGGUCACACUGGAAUGGAGACCCGGUCCGAACCCCUACGGGAGGAAGCAGGGGGGAAUAUUGGACAAUGGGCAAAAGCCUGAUGCAGCCAUGCGGCGUGGGUGAAGAAGGUCUUCGGAUGGUAAAGCACGUUAAGUUGGAAGACGUUACCAGCAGAAAAAGCACCGGCUAACUACGUGCCAGCAGCCGCGGUAAUUC
rnacentral:rRNA from 1 species